UAGGGAAUCUUCCACAAUGGACGAAAGUCUGAUGGAGCAACGCCGCGUGAGUGAAGAAGGUUUUCGGAUCGUAAAGCUCUGUCUUUGGGGAAGAUAAUGACGGUACCCAAGGAGGAAGCCACGGCUAACUACGUGCCAG
rnacentral:rRNA from 1 species